rnacentral:rRNA from 1 species
AACGAACGCUGGCGGCGUGCCUAACACAUGCAAGUCGAGCGCGAAAGAGCAAUCUGAGUAGAGCGGCGCACGGGUGCGUAACACGUGGGUAAUCUGCCUCAAGGUCUGGGAUAACCUUCCGAAAGGUUGGCUAGUACCAGGUAAGCUCAAGGUGACUUCGGUCGCUGAGAGAAAAGGGGCCCGAAAGGGUCUCGCCAUGAGAUGAGCCCGCGGCCCAUCAGCUAGUGGUGAGGUAACGGCCCACCAAGGCUACGACGGGUAGCUGGUCUGAGAGGACGAUCAGCCACACUGGAACUGAGACACGGUCCAGACUCCUACGGGAGGCAGCAGUGGGGAAUUUUGCACAAUGGGCGAAAGCCUGAUGCAGCAACGCCGCGUGUGUGAUGAAGGUCUUCGGAUCGUAAAGCACUUUCGACCGGACGAACAAGCCUGGCCACACCAGGCCCUGACGGUACCGGGAGAAGAAGCACCGGCUAACUCUGUGCCA